GCCACCGCGCCCGGCCGAGUAAGUAUUUAUUUAUAAAUUACUAAAUGAGUGGAAGGUCCUGGGUACUGGGAGGCAGGAGGUUGCAUAUUUGAGUUAAUAAAUUGUGUCACUGAUAAUAGAGAUAACUGACACACUAAAACAUACUUGGUGCACUAAAAUACAAAUUACAGUUCAGUGGUGUCACUAAGUGACAAACUGGGAGUAAAUAGUUCAGGAAUGCCCUAGUCUCUAGGUCCAGUUCGAGUUGGUUACAGGACAAAGAAGCCAUUCAUAAAACGGAAGAGAUUUUUAGGUUUUGCAGCUGAGGUUUAUAGUAGGCAGCAAGGGAAUGAUUCAUAGUGAUUGUAACAGUUGAUUACCAGGUACUAUAGAGAUUGGUGUUAGCAUACUGAUAGACUGAUUGGAGUUACAUUUUUUCUCUUGAAAUUACCAGGAGUGGUUGUGAAUGUCACCUUUUCCAUCUUUUAAAUCACAUCCUUGCAGGCGGUAAUUACUCAAGGAAAAGGAACUAUCAGAGUAACAACAGUUCCUGUAACUGACUUGAUAUGGUCUCUGCCCGAAUAGCUUCUUGGAUUAAUGGCCACUCUCAGGGGAAGCAUUUCUCCUUGCAUUGGUUUGCUGGUAUGGAUGGCCCUUAGAUUUUGGCAUGAGUGAUUAUGCAGCAUAUUUGAAGAAAACCUGUUUUCAGGACCUUUUUAAUUAAAUAUGGCCUGUUGCAUGAGUUAAAGCAUCAUGUGAUACCAGUUUUUGACCGCUUAGUUGAUGCCUCUGAAAGGAAGAGAGAAUCUGAUCGCUAAAAUUUGAUGUGUCGUCAGUGUGGAUCCUACUCAGUAGUGUCACAACGAGGCUGAAAAUUAUAUUAAGUGCUUUUAGGACAGAAACGUAAACUGCUCAGGUAAAAUAACCUUGUAAAGAAACAUAAGACUAUAUUGCAGAGGCCUUGGCUAGGUUCAUGAUGACACAGGACCUUGUCUGAACAUAAUGAUUUCAAAAUUUGAGCUUAAAAAUGACACUCUGAAAUCCAGUCAGUGUGCCUCAUUAGACUUUUUGAUUUCAAGAUUUUCUGCAGAAAAUGUUGUGAAAACUUUGAAUACUUAAAAAUGGCAGGUGUGGUAUUGCACUUUGCUAGUUGCUCAGAUACCCUUUUUUAUUUGUAUAGAUAUUCUGAGUUCCUUUUUUUUUCUACAUGUUAUACGUUGUUGAAAGCUAAAAGGAAACUUACCCUUGGAUCACAGAAGGCACAGGCACUUGGUGAGAUGGAAACAAAGAUGUGUGAAAAUGAGACUACCACCUCUCGGAUAAAAAAAAGUGCCAGAGUUCUAGGGUUCUAAGUGGUGUCCAGGAAAGAGGAGGAAUUACAUUUAUGGAGCAUAUAUUGUGGAACACAGAAAUUUUAGAGACAACCACUUUGUGCCUGUCUUCAUCCUUGACAUUCAACAUCCUAGGAACAAUGGGCUGUUGUAUUCAGCUUCUUGUUCUCAACAGCAUUAUGAAUGAUUUUUGAUUGAUCUCACAAAGAGCCUGUGAUUUAGACAUUAAUGCAGCAACUACCACGAAACGGAGUAUUGGAUUACCUGAGGAAAGAAGCAGAAGAUGGAAUUUGAGACAAUCAGGAUGAGUGCAAAACUUAUUUGCAGCUAACCUGCAAAUGGAAUCAUCAGGAACAUCCCUUUCUUACGGAGUCGCUUAAUUUACAACUUAAGUGCAAACAUAGGAGAUGGUAGUUCCAAGAAGGAACAUUUUAUCAUCUUUGUUUUUAAUCUCAAGAAUGGUACCUACCAUCAGUGAAUGACCUGUUGCAGCGCUUUCAUUGAAGUGUUCUUCAUUCCCUCGGCAAUAUGAUUGUGAUGACUGAAAAAGGGAACCUGUGCCACUAUUUGUACCAUCAUCUUCACCAAAAUCAAAAAAUGCUUUUUAUGAUGUAUGGAGACACUCUUCAUGUGUGUUUCAGUGGACAUUCCUUGCAGAUACAAAAAACAGAAAACUCACUUUUGGAAAGUGACCUAAAGAGUGUCAUUGAAGUGAAUUUUAAGUAGGCACGACGAUUGUUUUCAUGGUUGCUGUUGGAUCAUAUCUCAGGAGCUGGAAUUACAGACAUUACUGAACAAAGAAAUCAGGAUAGUGGAACUUAAAGAGCUUCAUCUCAGUGCUUUCAUAAGUAUGAAGUGCAUAUAUUUAUAAUUUUCGCUAAUCACAGGGUAAAUAUAAAAUUGAUUCAUUAAAAAUGUUACAUAAGAAUUCAAAGGACAUAGAAUUUUGUGAAAUGUAGUAGUUUUACUUAAGUGCCUUUUCUUUAUUUCUAGCCCCGAGCCAAUUUUUAGAAACCAGUUGAUACAUAAGUAGUUUUGGGGGGAUGAUAUAUUAUACAUUUUUUGUGUAGUAAACAUGUACAUGUAUGUGUGUGGAUGUGUAUCUGAUUAGUUUGUUGGAGUGAUUCCUAUGGUUUGGAACUGCUGGGGCCAUGUUUAGGCAAAAAUCUACAUUUUUGAGUAAACUCCCGGUGACUAGAGCAAAUUUCCCCAGUAUUUGAGAAUUCUUCAUUUCCUAAAGCUGUACAAACAUCAGAUAAUAUUUGUAAGGAUCGAUAAUGUAAUUUAUAAUGAAAUUGCUUUCUGAGCUAUUAAUGUUAACUGUAUCAUCUUAAUAUUGCCUUAAAACUCAUUUGUGCUAUUCCAUUUUCCUCUGUUCCUUUUAUUUUCACUUCCUUUCUAAUGUUAGUCUCCUCGUACUGAUUUCUGAAGAGUUCAUUUGUGAUUACAGAUGUUAACAUUUUGUCUAGAAUAGCAAAUAUGUUUCUCAUUCAUUUUACUAUGGUGUUUUAUUUUUUGGUUAUAUAGAAGUUGUAUAUUGAAAUAUAAUCUUGUUCUGUUUUAUGA